CAAACAAUGGCCUUAAGUAAAGCAGAAACUAAAAGGCCUGUUUAUUAGAGAGGAAGGUGGUUGGUUGGAAUUGAUUGGUAAUGGAGGGAGGGACAAUAGGAGAGGUGGAGGGAGAGAAAGGUGUAGGAUGCAGAGAACACAAUGCCUCCCAAAUAGAGUACAAUGUCAGUGUGUUCCCAAGAGUGGAGAGUGAAACCCACGAAGAGUGACAAUGUGGGAAACCUGCUAUGUGACCGCCCCAAGAGUAAGCGUGAUAUCUAACCCAACAGAUCACCCUAUGACUGGUGGAACCCCGUUAUCUAAAUUCAAUGUGUGGAACCCUAUGACGGGUGCAGCCCUAGUAUCUACUCAAACAGCCCCAGUAUGUGUGAAGUGAUAAAACCCGAACCAGUGCCACAGACCCCCAGUUAGAAUGGUAUAAAAGAGAGAGCGCAGACGGCCAGCUUGUCCCACUCAGAUGCCCGAGACAGCCCGACACUCUGCCGGACGAGACAUUGGACACCUGCCCAGAGUGGACCCCUGGAUCAACGUGGAGGCAACCAGAUUAAACACUGCAAUCACCAGGAAAGGAGAAACAAAGUCGUGCUCCUCAGACUUGUGCAGUUUGAGCAGUGUGAAGAGGCAAGAACGAUCCCCCAGACCGACCAAAGCCAUGCGUCACGGCGUCUCGCAUCCAACACCUGCAUCGGGUCGUGGCCACCACGCCCAGGAGAAAGGCUAAAGGUGAUAAAGCCAAGGUGAAGGACGAACCACAGAGAAGAUCUGAGAGGUUGUCUGCUAACCCAGCCCCUCCAAAGCCAGAGCCCAAGCCUAAAAGGGCCCCUGCAAAGAAGGGAGAGACGGUACCCAGAGGGAAAGAGGGAAAAGCUGAUGCCGGCAAGGAUGGGAAUAACCCUGCAGAAAACUGAGGCCAAAACAGAUCACGCGCGGAAAGCUGGCGGUGCUGGAGAUGCCAGGUGAAGUGUGUGCAUUUUUGAUAACUGUGUACUUCUGGUGACUACAGUUUGAAAUAGUAUUUUUUAUCAAGUUUUAUAAAAAUGCAGAAGUUUGUUUUACUUUUUAUCUAUGUUGUUAGCACACAGAACACUUCAUUGUUUUUUGGGGGGAAGGAGCAUAUGUCCACUGGUACAAUGUCUCCAAAGCUAGUUUUGAGAGACUUCCGCUUGGCUCCCCGGUGGAGGGAGUCCCUGAUGUUGACACCCUUGGCCACCUUGGCACAAAUGCCUUGUGGUACAGGAAAACUCCCAGUUCACUUUAUGUCCUCCUUCCCUCUGCCAUCAGCACAGACUUAACUCCCUUAAGCCCAGAGACCUGUUGGGACCUGACUCCCAAAAAUUGAUGUUACCAGUGUGUCAAGCAUUCUGGACUUGCCAGGGACAUUGAGAUGCUGUCCCACAAGAGCAAUCAUUUCCUUGUCUACAUCGGGGAUCUUCAGAUUGAUAAUUGUACCUUUUGGGGGGGGGUACCUGGGAUGGAAUUCGGGACCUUGUGCUUGCGAGGCAGGUGGUGGAACCACUGAGCUAAAUCUGGCCCUAUCUUCAUUUUAUUUUCUGAAAGUCAGGGUCAGCUUGUGAAAGUUGUUAAACAACAUGCUAAAUAUGAAGUGUCAGCCCUCAUUCUAAAAUUUCCCUACUCAUACCAUCAAAUGAAAACUUCAUUGGAUUUUACAGUGGCUUUCUGAGUUUUAGUAGUCCAUCCAAAAAGGAAGUUUGAAAGUUGUUGUAUACUGUUAACGAUUGUGUGCUCAUGCCCUGCCUGAAGUACCAUGAUUGUUUAUGAAAAGUAUCUUUAAUAAAGCUGGAUACAGCUGGAAAAAAACAAAAUCAAUCAGUAUAACUCACCAUAUCAAUGAACUGAUGUAAGCAAACUAUAUGAUUAUCUCCACUGAAGCCACUAAAGUGACAAAACAACAUCAUUCAUAUUUUUCAUAUAUGCACUGCUAAAAUGAGC
ensembl:lincRNA